GACGAACGCUGGCGGCGUGCCUAAUACAUGCAAGUUGAGCGCUGAAGGUUGGUACUUGUACCAACUGGAUGAGCAGCGAACGGGUGAGUAACGCGUGGGGAAUCUGCCUUUGAGCGGGGGACAACAUUUGGAAACGAAUGCUAAUACCGCAUAAAAACUUUAAACACAAGUUGUAAGUUUGAAAGAUGCAAUUGCAUCACUCAAAGAUGAUCCCGCGUUGUAUUAGCUAGUUGGUGAGGUAAAGGCUCACCAAGGCGAUGAUACAUAGCCGACCUGAGAGGGUGAUCGGCCACAUUGGGACUGAGACACGGCCCAAACUCCUACGGGAGGCAGCAGUAGGGAAUCUUCGGCAAUGGCCGAAAGUCUGACCGAGCAACGCCGCGUGAGUGAAGAAGGUUUUCGGAUCGUAAAACUCUGUUGGUAGAGAAGAACGUUGGUGAGAGUGGAAAGCUCAUCAAGUGACGGUAACUACCCAGAAAGGGACGGCUAACUACGUG
rnacentral:rRNA from 1 species